rnacentral:lncRNA from 1 species
GUCUGUCUGACUCCAAAGUCAGCAUUCUUUCCUUCCAUGAAGUACAGUCGGCUUUUAGCAGGAGAUAGUGACAUCCCAGGGACAUUUCUAACUCAGUUUCUGGAAAGCCCCAUCCAAAACCGACUAAUGUGUUGGAUAGACCAGCCAGUCAUUGCAGUAACAGUGGACAUCACCCCAAGAUCUAGGCUAGGCCUCAACGGUCUGAAAUUAAUCCCAUUCCUGUUUGCAGUGAUUAUCUUAGGAUGGGCACAUGAACCAGUUCUGGCCAUGAGAUGACUUUGUUUUGUCCAGAUGUGAUGUCUGGAAUCAUUCGAUGUAUCUCACUAUCAGUCCAAAGAUGAAACUGACCCUGAUGACUACACAGCAGAGAGAUUUUUUUAAAUCAGGGUUUUGACACCAACAUUCAGCUACUAAAUCAACUAAUCCUGAAGGUUCCUUCUACCUCUGGACUCCAAGUUUCAGCUUUUGGGUUCAUAUCUGUGAUGGUUAAUAUUGAGUGUCAACUAGAUUGAAUUGAAGGAUGCGAAGUAUUUUUCCUGGGUGUGUCUGUGAGGGUGUUGCCUUCAUCUUUCUCCCGUGCUGGAUGCCUCCUGCCCUCGAACAUCAGACUCCAAGUUCUUCAGUUUUUGGAUUCUUGGACUGGGGCUCUCGGGCCUUUGACCACAGACUGAAGGCUGAACUGUGGCCUUCCCUACUUUUGAGGUUUUGGGACUCAAACUGAUCUACUACUGGCGUUCUUGCUCCUCAACUUGCAGAUGUCCUAUCGUGGGACUUUACCACUUUACCUGAUUGUGUGAGCCAAUUCUCCUUAAUAAACUCCCUUUGAUAUAUACAUAUAUCCUUAGUUCUGUCCCUGUAAAGAACCGUGACUAAUACAAUAUCCAGAAGAUCAUUACCCAGAUCUAAAUUUUCCUCUGUGAUUGAUUGUUGUAUAUGGUAUAAGGGUCUAAUUUCAUUCUUCUGCAUGUGGAUAUCCAGUUGUCCGAACAUCAUUUAUUGAAGAGACUAGCCUUUUCCUAUGGUGUGAUCUUGGCACCUUUGUUGCAAAUUGAUUUACCAUAAAUGUGUGGAUUUAUUUCUAUGUUCUCUAUUAUGUUCCACUGAGCUAUAUGUUUGUUAUUAUGCAAGUACCAUGCUAUUUUGAUUAUUAUAGCUUUGUAGUAUAUUUUGAAGUUAGGUAGUGUGAUGCUUUCAGCUUUGUUCUUUUUGCUCAAGAUUACUUUGGCUCUUUGGGGGUUUUUAUGUUUCCAUAUAAAUUUUAGGAUUAUUUUUCUAUAUUUGUAAAAAACAUCAUUGGAAUUUUAAUAGAGAUUGCAUUGAAUCUGUAGAUCACUUUAGGUAGUAAUCCAUAAACCUGGGAUAUGUUUUCAUUUUUUGCAUCAUCUUUAAUUUCUUUCAUUGAUUUUGUUUUGUUUUGUAAGAGACAGGGUCUCACUAUGUUGCCCAGGCUGGAAUGCAGUGGCUAUUCACAGGCACGAUCAUAGCACACCACAUGGCCUUGAACUCCUAGGCCCAAGUGAUUCUCCUGCAUCAAGUCCUUAGUAGCUGGGACUACAGAUGCGUGCCACCACAUCCAGCUAUAUCAAUGUUUUAUAGUUUUCAAGUAAAGAUCUUUCGUCUCCUUGGUUAAAUUUGUUUAUAUUUUUUGUAGCUGUGCAAAUUAAUUUUUUUAUUUCUUCUUUAGAUAGUUCAUUGUUGGUAUAUAGAAAGACUACUGAUUUUUGUAUGUUUAUUUUAUAUCUUACAACCUUACUGAAUUUGUUUAUUGGUUCUAACAGUUUUUGUGUGGAAUCUUUAGGUCUUUCUACAUAUAAAGGACAUUUUAACUUCUUCCUUUCCAAUUUGGAUGCCUCAUUGCUCCUUUCCAAUUUCUCUUGCCUAAUUGUUCUGGCUAGGACUCCCAGUAUUAUGUUUAAUACAAGUGGCUAAAGUGGGCAUCCUUGUUUUGUGCCUGAGCUUAGAGGAAAAGCUUUCAACUUUUCACCAUUGAGCAUGAUGUUAGCUAUGGGUUUGUCAUAUAUGGCCUUUAUUGUGUUGAAGUACAUUCCUUCUAUACCUAAUUAGUGAGAGUUUUUAUCAUAAGAUGUGGUUUUCUUUUCUUAUUAUGCAUUUUUCUGGGUUUUGGUGUCAAAGUAAUACCAGCCCUUUUUAGUAAUUUUUAUUUCUGUAAAGUUGGUAGUAAUGGUUCAUCUUUCAUUCCUGAUUUUAGUCACUUGAACAUUCUCUCUUCUUUUUCUGGUCAUCUAACCAAAGGUUUGUCAAUUUUGUUGAUCUUUUCAAAGAAACAACUUUGAUUUUCGUUAAUUUUCUCUAUUGUUUUUCUAUACUUUAUUUCAUUUAUUUUUACUGUAAUCUUUAUUAUUUCUUUGCUUCUGCUUGCUUUCACUUCAACUUGCUUUUCUUUUUGUAGUUUCUUAAGGUAUAGAGUUAGGGUUUGGAUUUACAAUCUUUCUCCUCUUUCAUGGGCAUUUAUAGCUCUAAAUUUCCCUCUGAGCACUGCUUUGCUGCAGUUGUCGCAUAAGUUUGGUGUGAUGUGCGUGCAUUUCCGUUUAUUUCAAAAUGUCUUCUAAUUUCCCUUGUGAUUCUGCUUUGACCAUUUGUCCAUUUCGGGGGGAGUGUAUUGUUUAAUUUCCACAUUUGUUAAUUCUCUAAAUUUUCUUCUGUUAGUGGUUUCUGAUUUUAUUCCAUUCUGUUCAGAAAGCAUGUUUUAUGUGAUUUUAAUCCUUUAAAGUUUAUCAAGAUUUGUUUUAAGCCUUAAUAUGUUCUAUUCAAGAGAAUGUUCUAUGCACACUUGAGAACAUGUGCAGCCUGCUGUUGUUAAGUGUUCUAUAAAUGUGUGUUAGAUCUAGUUGGUUCAUAAUAUGGUCCAAGUCUUCCAUUUCCUUUCUAGUUGUUCUAUCCAUUAUUGGCAGUGUGGUAUUGAAGUCUCUAACUUAUUGUUGAAUUGUCUAUUCCCUCCUUCAAUUCUGUCAGGUUUUGUUUCAUCUAUUUUGGGUCUUUGUUGUUAGGUGUAUAUAUGUUUAUAAUUGUUAUGUCUUCUUGAUGCAUUGACUCUUUUACCUUUAUAAAAUGUCCUUCUUUGUCUCUAGAUUUUUAAAGUCUACUUUCUCUCUAGUAGCUUUGUGAUUUUAGCUUUACAUAUAGCUUGGUAAGUCAUCUCAAAUUACUUUUUCUGUAUGGUGUGAGAGAUUGAGGUUCACUUUUUCUGUAGGAUUAUCCAGUUGUUCCAACACUAUUUUUAAGGUAUCUUCUCCAUUGACAUUCCUUAUCAUCUGGUGUCAAAAAUCAAUUAUCUUUAUAUGUGUGAGCCUAUGUCUAGACUGUCUAGUCUAUUUUAUUAAUUUGUUAGUCUGUCACUGUGCCAAUACUACACUGUCUUGAUGACAGACUUUAUAGAAAGUCUUGAAAUCAGGCAGUAAGAAUCCUCUAAUUACACUCUUUCAAGAUUGUCUUGCUUAUUCAAGACCUUUUGUAUGUUCAUAUACAUUUUGGAAUCACUUUGUCAAUUUAUAUACUUUUUAAAAGCCUGCUGAAAUUUUUGAUUGGUAUUGCGUAAAAUGCAGGAAUCAAUUUUGGGAGAAUUGACAUUUUAACACUACUGUUUCCUAGUUCAUGAGCAUGGUAUUAGGUUCGUGCAAAUGUAAUUGCGGUUUUGCGGCAGUUAACCAUUAACCAUUAACCCAUUAACCAUUAUUUUAAUGGCAAAAACCACAAUUACUUUUGCACCAAUCUAUUGUAUCUGUUUUUUAUAUUUUAUGGUUUUCAAGGUAGAGGUUUUACAAAUCCUUUAUUACAUUUGUUCCUAAGGCCAGGUAUGGUGACUCAUGUCUGCAGUCUCAGAGAUUUUGGAGGCUGAGGCAGGAGGAUCACUUGAAGCCAGGAGUUUGAGACAGCCUGGGCAACAAAGCAAAACCCCAUCUCUACAAAAAAUAACAUUUUUUAAAAAUAGGCAGGAGUGGUGGUGUAUGCCUUCAGUCCCAGCUACUCGGUAGGCUGAGGCAGGAGGAUUGCUUGAGCCCAGGAGUUCAAGGCUACAGUGAGGUAUGCACAUCACUGCACUCCAACUUGAGUGACAGUGUGAAGCCCUGUCUCUAAAAAUAAAACAAAUUGUUCCUAAAUAUUUUAAUCUUUUUGAUGGUAUUAUAAAUGAUACUGCUUUUAAUUUUUAUUUUUCUAUUUUUGCUAAUAUAUUGAAGUAUGAUUGAUUUGUAUAUAUGAAUGUUGUACUCUGCAAACUUGUUACAUUCACUUAAUAUUUCUGAUAGAUUUUCAGUAAUGUCCUUAGGAUUUCUUCACAAACUAUUACUUUUUCUGCAAACAGAAGUGGUCUUUUUUCUAUCUAAUAUUUAUGCUUUUGAUUGCCUCUUCUUGCCUUAUUACACUGACCAGAAAACCUCCAAUACAAUGUUAAAUAAAAAAGGUAAGAGUGGACAUCCUUGCCUUGUGCUUAAUCUCCAGGGAUAGUGUUCAGUAUUUCACCAUUAACUGUGAUGUUAACUGUAGGUUUCUCAUAGCUGUACCUAUCAAAUUGAGGAAACACUCAUCUAUUUCUAGUUUGCUGAGAGUUUUUAAAACAAUGUGUAAUGAAUUUUGUCAGUGCUUUUUCUGCAUCUGUUGAAAUGAUCAUAUUGUUUGUCUUUUUUAUUUUGUUAAUGUAUAAAUACACAUUGAUUUUUAAAGGCUAAAUAAAUCUUGCAUCCCCUGGGACAAAUCCCAGCACACCAAAUAAAUAUAUUAUCCUUUUUCUAUAUUGCUGGAUUCAAUUUGUUAAUAUUUUGUUGAAGAUUUCAAAUCUUCAAACAAAUAUAUUGUCCUUUUUCUAUACUGCUAAAUUCAGUUUGUUAAUAUUUUGUCAAAGAUUUCUGUGUCUUGUUUGUAUUGGAUAUUGGCCUCAUAAAACAAGAUAGAAAAUAUUCCUUCGUCUUCUAAUCUCUGAGAUCAUUUGUAUAAGGUUGAUAUUAUUUCUUCUUUUAGAUGAUUAAUGAAAUUUACCUCUGAAAAUAUUUGGACCUGAGUUUGUUGUGGGAAGGUUUUUGAGGAUCGAUGCAAUUUCUUUUAUAGAUAUGGAUUUUCUGUUGCUUCUUGAGAAAGUUUUAUAAGUUGUAUUUUUCUCAGUUUGUCAACUUUUUCUAAGUUCUCAAAUGAAUUGGAAUAAAAUUGUUCAUAAUGUUUCUACCUUAUCUUUUUGAUAUCAGUAGGAUCUCUAGUACUAUCCCUUUCUUCAUCCCUGACGUUAACAACUUUUGUUUUCUCUUUUUUCUUGAUCAAUCUUUCUAGAAGUUUAUCAAUUUUGUUAAUAUUUACAACAAACCAACUUUUGGCUCUGUUAAUUUUCUCUUUGGUUUAUCUGUUUUUUAAAUCAUUAAAUUUAUGUUGCACUUAUGUUGUUAUUUUCUCUUUCCUACUUGUUUCUGCUUAUUUUUUCCUUUCUUCUACCUUCUUUGGGUUUAAUUUUCUCUUUUUUGAUAGCUUCUUAAAAUGAAAACAUUUUAAUUUUUGUUUGCAUAGUAAAAUUUACUCUUUUUGAAGUUGUGAAACCACAAUCACGAUUAAGAUAUGCACAAAAAAUUCCCUUUUGCUACCCUUUUGUAGUUAACACUUCUCCCCUUUCUCUAACUCCUAGCAACCAUUGAUCUAUUCUCUGUCCCUUUAGUUUUGCCUUUUCCAAAAUGUCAUGUAAAUGGAAUCAUACAGUAUGUAAACUUUUAAUUCUGACUUAUUCAACUUACCAUAAUGCCUUUGCAAUUCAUUCAUGUUGUAUUAAUAUUUUGUUUCUUUUUUCUUGCUAAGUAAUAAUGCCCUGCAUAUGUGCCACAGAUUGUUUAUCUCUUUCCCAUUUGAGGAACAUUUAAUUGCUUCUAGAUUUUGGCAAUAAUGAAUAAAGCCAAUGUAAAUAUCCACAGGUAGAUUUUUGUGUGAACAUCAGUUUCCACUUCACUUAAGUAAAUACCUAAGAGUAGGAUGGCUGGGUCAUAUAGAAAGUGUAUGUUUAGGCCGGGCGCGGUGGCUCACGCUUGUAAUCCCAGCACUUUGGGAGGCCGAGGCGGGUGGAUCACGAGGUCAGGAGAUCGAGACCACGGUGAAACCCCGUCUCUACUAAAAAUAAAAAAAAAAUUAGCCGGGCGUGGUGGCGGGCG